CCCCUAGAUGUUCUGGGCCGCACGCGCGCUACACUGAACAGUUCAACAAGUCUUAACCUUGGCCGAUAGGUCUGGGUAAUCUUUGAACGCUGUUCGUGAUUGGGAUAGACCUUUGCAAUUAUGGGUCUUCAACGAGGAAUUCCUAGUAAACGCAAGUCAUCAGCUUGCAUUGAUUACGUCCCUGCCCUUUGUACACACCGCCCGUCGCACCUACCGAUUGAAUGGUCCGGUGAAAUCUCGGGAAGGCGGCUUGGUCGCUUGCGUCCGACUGCUGAAACUUGAUUAAACCAUAUCAUUUAGAGGAAGGUGAAGUCGUAACA
rnacentral:rRNA from 1 species